rnacentral:rRNA from 1 species
UGAGGAAUUUUCCGCAAUGGGCGAAAGCCUGACGGAGCAAUGCCGCGUGGAGGUGGAAGGCCUACGGGUCGUCAACUUCUUUUCUCGGAGAAGAAACAAUGACGGUAUCUGAGGAAUAAGCAUCGGCUAACUCUGUGCCAA